GGGGCUGACCGGUUUUGACAGCAAGAUGAAUGGUUAUGUAAGCAUACCGAGCCUUGCGGUGACGCUCGUUAAUCUUGAUCGCAAAAUUCAAUUGGCGAAAAUAAUUUUGCUCUCGCUGCAUAGUCUGAAUCACAGUAAGACUGAGCUUCAUCCCGUCACCAGGUGACGAGACGAGACAUCCCGCAGGUGGAAACGCCCGAUGCCGGCCUGAUCACGGGGUGCUAAUCAAAGUUGGGAUAGUCGUGUAAAAGCUUCGGUUGCAUGAUAAAAUUCAGAAGAUAAGUGUUGGAUUAGGGUGUUUGUUCCCUUGCCAAUGACGAAAAUCAAUAACAAAAUAAGUAUGUAGAAAGCUUGGUUAUUCCUUGUUUGGACGAGGGUUCGACUCCCUCCAGUUCCACAA
rnacentral:tmRNA from 1 species